GCGCGCGAGGUGGAGAAGCAGGGCACGUGCAUUCCUAGCCUCCAGCUAGAGCUCGCCGAUGAGGCAGCUGUUCCGGCUAGCCAUCGGCCGGCGGCCUGGCUCUCGAGCUGCCUGAUGCUGCCGUCGCCGGCGCGCGGCAACGCCGGCAAACGAUGCUUGGAUGCAUGUGCCCUUCUUCUCCACCGUGCACGC
rnacentral:pre_miRNA from 1 species